rnacentral:rRNA from 1 species
GGAGUUUGGGCCGUGUCUCAGUCCCAAUGUGGCCGGUCACCCUCUCAGGUCGGCUACUGAUCGUCGCCUUGGUGGGCCGUUACCUCACCAACUAGCUAAUCAGACGCGGGUCCAUCUUGUACCGAAAAAACUUUUCACACUGCAUCAUGCGAUGCUGUGCGCUUAUGCGGUAUUAGCAGUCGUUUCCAACUGUUGUCCCCCUGUACAAGGUAGGUUACCCACGCGUUACUCACCCGUGCGCCGGUCGCCAUCUACCAAAGCAAGCUUCGAUAAUGCUGCCCCUCGACUUGCAUGUGUUAAGCCUGUAGCUAGCGUUCAUC